GAUUAAGUUAUUAAGGGCGCACGGUGGAUGCCUUGGCACUAGAAGCCGAUGAAGGACGUUACUAACGACGAUAUGCUUUGGGGAGCUGUAAGUAAGCUUUGAUCCAGAGAUUUCCGAAUGGGGAAACCCAGCAUGAGUUAUGUCAUGUUAUCGAUAUGUGAAUACAUAGCAUAUCAGAAGGCACACCCGGAGAACUGAAACAUCUUAGUACCCGGAGGAAGAGAAAGAAAAUUCGAUUCCCUUAGUAGCGGCGAGCGAAACGGGAAGAGCCCAAACCAACAAGCUUGCUUGUUGGGGUUGUAGGACACUCUAUACGGAGUUACAAAGGACGACAUUAGACGAAUCAUCUGGAAAGAUGAAUCAAAGAAGGU
rnacentral:rRNA from 1 species